UGUGAGCGGACCGCGGGCGCUGGGCGGGUCCGCGGCGCGGUCGGUCGGCGCCUAUUCUCGGGCUCUUUGGCGGGUGAAUCAGGUCUAGGAAAAUCGACUCUCAUAAACAGCCUAUUCCUAACUGAUCUCUACCCAGAAAGAGUCAUACCUGGAGCAGCAGUUUGUUUCUUUUCUAGAAAAAAUUGAAAGAACUGUCCAGAUUGAGGCUUCAACUGUUGAAAUUGAAGAGCGAGGGGUCAAGCUACGCCUGACAGUGGUAGAUACCCCUGGCUAUGGUGACGCUAUCAACUGCAGAGAUUGUUUUAAGACAAUUAUCUCCUAUAUUGAUGAGCAAUUUGAGAGGUACCUGCAUGACGAGAGCGGCUUGAACAGGAGGCACAUCAUUGAUAAUAGGGUGCAUUGUUGCUUUUACUUUAUUUCACCUUUUGGACAUGGACUUAAGCCCUUAGAUGUGGCGUUUAUGAAGGCAAUACACAACAAGGUGAAUAUUGUGCCUGUCAUUGCAAAAGCUGACACUCUCACUCUGAAGGAACGGGAGCGGCUGAAGAAAAGGAUUCUGGA
rnacentral:sRNA from 1 species